rnacentral:rRNA from 1 species
CCCUUAGAUGUUCUGGGCCGCACGCGCGCUACACUGACAGAGCCAACGAGUUCUUUGCCUUGGCCGGAAGGUCUGGGUAAUCUUGUUAAACUCUGUCGUGCUGGGGGUAGAGCAUUGCAAUUAUUGCUCUUCAACGAGGAAUGCCUAGUAAGCGCGUGUCAUCAGCAUGCGUUGAUUACGUCCCUGCCCUUUGUACACACCGCCCGUCGCUACUACCGAUUGAAUGGCUCAGUGAGGCCUUCGGACUGGCUCGGGGAGGUUGGCAACGACCACCCCAAGCCGGAAAGUUCGUCAAACUCGGUCAUUUAGAGGAAGUAAAAGUCGUAACA